GGGGUUGUAGCUCAGUGGUAGAAUGCUUGCCUAGCAUGCAUGAGGCACUGGGUUCAAUUCUCAGCACCA
rnacentral:tRNA from 1 species